UAUUAACAAUCAUUUAUCACCUUAUUAAUCAUAUAUCAAUUUUUUAUCUCUUAUAUAUUUUUUGUUACUGCAAACUUUCAAAUUGUAUUUAAAAUUUGUUACGAAAAAAUGGAAUUUCUGGGUAAACUAUUACAGAUAUGACAAAAAUGUAUAUAGACAAUUUAGUAGCUUAUGAAAUUCUCUAGAAAAAAGUCUGUUGACAUUUUCACGUACGCCUAAUUAUUAUGACGUAAUUUCAAAUUUAAGUAAAAAGUAAAUUUUUAUUUUUAUUAAAAAUAAUCUUGAUCCCUUAUUUAUUUUGUCUGUAACUUUAAAACUAUCAGAGAUACGUUGAUAAGCACAGAAACCUUUUUUGUGGUAAAUUUAAUUUGCCACAAUUUUUAUUUGAAACAUUUUUCUCUAAAAUUCAUUGUUUCGCCACAAACUUAACUUUUGAAUUAAUAAAUUGGUAAUAUGCGAUUACCUUCAUAAAAAAUAUUCUCGUAUUUAUUGGCGCGAAAUAAAUAUUUUUGAAAGUAAAUAAAAUAAAUAAAUAAACUUUAAUAAGCAGCUUUAAACAUCGUAAACUAGUUGGCACAAAAAUGGAAUAUUUUUUAAUAAUUGAUAUAUCGAAAAAUUGCUCUUUCAGAAUCCGUAAUUGCUCCAAUUAAAAAAUUAAUGUUUAAUUAAUUAUGCGUAGUUAAAAAUUCAAAAUUUAAUUCCUAAUUAUCUCAGUAAGUAAAAUGUUUUUCAUCUGUCAAGCAAAAUUUGCUCCGUUGUUUUUCUAUAGAGAAUGAUCGUUUUUUACCUUAUCAUUUUAAUAAUUAAUUAAUUACGAGAAUUAAUUACCAAAGCGUAGGGACAAUUAAAGUAUGACGUCACAAUUGCGAAAUGUCGCCAGUCGUCUACAUGAGUAUAGUAAAUAAAGUCAUAUCAUUAACAUGAGUAUGUGCCCAGGUAAACAAUUUAUUGUGUACUCGUGUACUGUUUAAAAGCAUGGAAUGAACGGCUCUUGACUAGGCAUGCAUUCGUUACACUGCCGUUGCGAUGGAGUUCGUUUUGAAAGCUGUGAAAUUAUUUACCCCAAAAUUUUUUUUAUUCUUUACAUAUUUUACAUUACAUAGCCUUUAGGUUACUUUGCAAGCAAUUUAAAGUCCCUAUUUUCUUUGGACUAUGUUUCCUGACCAUCUUUUCUUUUUUUAUUCCAUAUCUUAUCUAUUAGCUAUCUGUUUCUCAUCUCGUUUUUCCAUGUUUUUGCAAUCACGGAGUGUUUUUAGUGGGCAAGAUUGCAGACAGGUGGCAUUCUGGCGGCUAUAUGGAACGAAUCCCACAGGACAAUGCAUUAUAUCAACUUGUGAAAAAUAAUUCAUUUGCUCUUUGUGGGAUUCGAACCUGAGUCUGGGCAGUACUUGAGUCCGAAGACAAAGUGUUCUCCACUCCACCACAAAUACUGAAUAAAAGCUAUUGCUGUUGCAAUUCCAAAUAUUUACGCUAUGAAGAAGGUGCAAAAUUUUGCUUAUGCGAGAACGAGUACCGGAAAUUGAAGAACUACGUGGGUUACUUAAAAUAUUUGCAAUGUUUGAUUAUGAUCGAUGAUGCCUUUUUUGAUAUACUAAAAUUAAAUUAUAAAUAUACAAAACUAAUUUAUGACCGGGAGUAUACCAAUAUAAAGAUCGCGAUAUUACAAAUUAUUCAAAUUGAAGAUAAACUACUUGAAUACUUACCUUCCAACAAAAUCACAAUUAAUUCAUUGGACCAAAAGAUUAGUAAUAAAGUCCAGUUAUUAAAAAAUGCACAUCCAAUAAUUUUGAAGUUUCAGCGAUAGUCCGUAAAACCAAAAAUACAACUAUAACUAGAGAAGAUAUGGCAACUCAUUUGUACGAUAAUCUAUGGAAUCACGUCGGGAUAAUCAAAACCGAUGUUGUGGAAAAUUAUAAAACAGCACAGGAAAUAACAGCUUCAGAUGGGUUAAAUAUCUAAAAAAAUCUUAUUAAUAUUAGUUUCUUUUUUUUCUUCAAUUAUACACAAAUAUUGGUAAUAAAUUGUGAAAUAAAGUAAUAAAACAAUGUGUACUAAAAAAAUAUUUUUAUUGAAGUAGUGGAUUGUUAAUUAUAAUUAUUAAUAAAACAUACGUAUUUACAC